rnacentral:tRNA from 1 species
AGCUCCGUGGCGCAGCGGAAGCGCGCCGGGCUCAUAACCCGGAGGGCAACGGAUCGAAACCGUUCGGAGCUA